UAACAAACUGUUACAAGCCAAACUGAUGCCUAACAAACUGUCACAAAACUUAACAAACUUUGCAAACUUACAAACGGUUUAAAUGACUUACAGUCUAUAAAUACAGUAGCAAGAAAAUGACCUCCAUUCGGAUGGACAAUAACUUGGAAGGUCUUUAUAGUAACAAUCACACAUAAAAUAAAGAACUAAGAAGAGUAAAAAGCAAGAGAAGGGAAGAGGGGAGAAGAGAAGAGAAGAGAAUAGGAGAGAUUAGGCUUUGAAAGGGCUCUAGAGUAUGUCUUUUGAGCUUAGAC
rnacentral:lncRNA from 1 species